GAUAAAACCAGAACCUUGAAUUAAGUGUAUUUCCAUUCCCUGAGAUCCUGGCGAGCUGUGCAGUUAAGAAACCGAGGUUAAGGGGAAGAAGAACAGAACAGAUAGAAUAAAGGACGGUGUGAUAUGAAAGUCCAGGCAUCAUUGCACGAAAUGGCAUUCCCAUACACUUGUCAGGGCUCAGAAGUUUUAUUACCAAGGAAUUUCACUUCUGCCUCUUAUUCUUAACACACUGCCCAGCGCUGGGCCUGAGAGGAUUUGCUGAUCUAAUAUAGAUAGCGAUUUUGUAGGUUUGUUGAGAUUUAUAUAGACAGCACCUUGGGAUCAGGAAUUACAUUUUAAAAUGUAAUAAAAUGCUCCUUGGCAUUUUUUUUCUAAAAAAAACUUACAAAUACCCGUACUUAAAAAAGUAAACAUCAAAUAAUCUCUGAUAUCUUUCAAGAAAAUGUUGACAUAGCUCAAGGAGCUUCAACCAGAUCCCCGAGUCGUUUGCUAGAGUCAACUUAAUAAACUCAUUUUCUUCAUCCUGCCAUGAAGUUGCCUAUCCCUGGGAAGAUGGAAAGGUCCUGCCAGAAGGGGUCGCUGCGGCGCACAGAUUUCAAAGCUAGAUACGUGAAGGGGAAGAGGAAGAUGCUUUGGAAACAGAACUAAAGGAGAGAGAUAUUUGGUCUCCUGAAGACCUGAAAACUGUCCUCGGUGAAAACAACAACAACAACAUGUCACUCAUCACCUCCUCGUAUAGUCAGAUGGAACAAUGCUGAAGGUCUCAUCUAACACACUUGUAUAGGAGGAAAAAGCUUACCUGU